GCGGUGGUGGCGGAAUUGGUAGACGCGCUAGCUUGAGGGGCUAGUGAGCAUUGCGCUCGUGGAGGUUCAAGUCCUCUUCACCGCACCA
rnacentral:tRNA from 2 species